rnacentral:rRNA from 1 species
GAUGAACGCUGGCGGCGUGCCUAAUACAUGCAAGUCGAGCGAACAGAUGAGAAGCUUGCUUCUCUGAUGUUAGCGGCGGACGGGUGAGUAACACGUGGGUAACCUACCUAUAAGACUGGGAUAACUCCGGGAAACCGGGGCUAAUACCGGAUAAUAUUUUGAACCGCAUGGUUCAAUAGUGAAAGACGGUUUCGGCUGUCACUUAUAGAUGGACCCGCGCCGUAUUAGCUAGUUGGUAAGGUAACGGCUUACCAAGGCGACGAUACGUAGCCGACCUGAGAGGGUGAUCGGCCACACUGGAACUGAGACACGGUCCAGACUCCUACGGGAGGCAGCAGUAGGGAGUCUUCCGCAAUGGGCGAAAGCCUGACGGAGCAACGCCGCGUGAGUGAUGAAGGUCUUCGGAUCGUGAAACUCUGUUGUUAGGGAAGAACAAAUUUGUUAGUAACUGAACAAGUCUUGACGGUACCUAACCAGAAAGCCACGGCUAACUACGUGCCAGCCGCCGCGGUAA